rnacentral:tRNA from 1 species
GAGGGUUUGGCCGAGUGGUCUAAGGCGCCAGAUUUAGACUCUUGUCGAAAGGGCGUGGGUUCAAAUCCCACAGCCGUCA